CUAGGCGUCAGCUGUACUGGUGGUGGUGGUGGAGGCCAGACCUUCCUCAUAAUUAAAGACUCGGAGGAGCACGUACCGCCGCAGGCUGGU
rnacentral:SRP_RNA from 10 species